rnacentral:lncRNA from 1 species
GAUACAUCGAACCCAUCUGGCCAGCUGGCAUUUGCUGAGGAUACAUUGAACCCAUCUGGGCCCCCGGCACUUGCUGAGGAUACAUUGAACCCAUCUGGCCCGUUGGCAUUUGCUGAGGAUACAUGGAACUCAUCUGGCCCACAGGCAUUUGCUGUGGAAGCAUGCCUGUAUACUGUGGUGCUCCCUGGAUUGGCUGUGGAUGAUAACCAGCAAACUGGUUUCCCAGAGCCACAUGAUUAUUAGUCGUUGGUAAAUGACCAGUU